AGAGUUUGAUCCUGGCUCAGGAUGAACGCUAUCUACAGGCUUAACACAUGCAAGUCGAGGGGCAGCAUGUCGGUUGCUUGCAACCGAUGAUGGCGACCGGCGCACGGGUGAGUAACGCGUAUCCAACCUACCCUUGUCCAUCGGAUAACCCGUCGAAAGGCGGCCUAACACGAUAUGCGGUUCACAGCAGGCAUCUAAGGUGAACGAAAUGUGAAGGAGAAGGAUGGGGAUGCGUCUGAUUAGCUUGUUGGCGGGGUAACGGCCCACCAAGGCGACGAUCAGUAGGGGUUCUGAGAGGAAGGUCCCCCACAUUGGAACUGAGACACGGUCCAAACUCCUACGGGAGGCAGCAGUGAGGAAUAUUGGUCAAUGGACGGGAGUCUGAACCAGCCAAGUAGCGUGCAGGAUGACGGCCCUAUGGGUUGUAAACUGCUUUUAUAGGGGGAUAAAGUGUGCCACGUGUGGCAUAUUGCAGGUACCCUAUGAAUAAGGACCGGCUAAUUCCGUGCCAGCAGCCGCGGUAAUACGGAAGGUCCGGGCGUUAUCCGGAUUUAUUGGGUUUAAAGGGAGCGUAGGCCGUCUUAUAAGCGUGUUGUGAAAUGUCGGGGCUCAACCUGGGCAUUGCAGCGCGAACUGUGAGACUUGAGUGCGCAGGAAGUAGGCGGAAUUCGUCGUGUAGCGGUGAAAUGCUUAGAUAUGACGAAGAACUCCGAUUGCGAAGGCAGCCUGCUGUAGGGCGAAUGACGCUAAGUCUCGGAAGAGUGGGUAUCGAACAGUAUUAGAUACAUUGGUAGUCCAAGCGGUAACCGAUGGAUGCUCGCUGAUUGGGUGUGAUAUAAUCGGCCAAGAGCCAGUGUAUAGCAUCCCAGCUGGGGAGUACGCCAGCAACGGUGAUACUCGAAGGGAAUGACGGGGUCCCGAACAAUCGGAGGCACACGAGAUGUCAUUCGAUGAUAAGUGAGUAACCUUACCCGGGCAUGAAACGAAGCGGACGGAUAUAGAGAUGUAGACUCCCUUCGGGGCUCAUAUGGAGGUCCUGUGUGCUAGUAGUCAGCUCGUUCCGUGAGGUAUCGGCUUAAGUCCCAUAACGAGUGCAACCUGUGGUACUAGCUUCCAUCGACCCAAACCGGUCAUUGCGUGGAGGGUGCGUCAGUAAGGAGAGAGGAAGAUGGGAAGGAUGUCCAACCAUCUCGGCCACAACGUCCGGGCCUACAAAGCUGUUACGAUGGCACAUACAGAAAUAGUGGGUCUAUGCGAAGACGAUCGAAUCCAUCAAACAUAUGUCAGAUACGGAGUUAGUCUCCGCAAGCCCGACGUCCACCGUAGUUCGGAUUGCGAUCAGUAAUGAGCAGCAUCACCCAUGGCUCGGAGGUACGUUCCCGGACCUAGUACACACCGCCAGUCAAGGCGAAUUCGUUGAACAUUCAGGGCUAGUCCAUUUAGUGAGGUAAUUCUGGUUAGAGUAUGAUU
rnacentral:rRNA from 1 species